AUGCAAAGCUUGCAAGGAUGUAAUAACUCCCAAUAUACAAAACAACCAUUCAUUAUCAGCUGCUUCUAAGCAUCUACCAACAUGAUUUUGCAGUUGAAUCAACUUAUACAAUUCUUCCUUCCCUUUGUUUGUUUGCAUUUGAAUCAGCUCCCACUAGGAGACCCUGGAUUUUGUGUCUCAGCUUGGCGGGGAUGAGGGCGGCCCCGGCUGAGAUGGAGUUGGAUGUGGAGUUGCGGCGCGAGGCAAUCCAUUUAGGCGUGUCACGAGUUGGUUGUCAUCAUGCUGGCCAGAUGAGGCACGCCACUGUCUUUGCCAUCUCAUAAAUUCGACAACAAUUGAACUUCCACACAUCGCAACACCAAGCCCUGCAAACGUUGAGAGGAGAAUUGACAGCACAGCUUGCAGUUGAACCUGUGGAAAAAAGGUAUCAAAACAUGAGAAAAAGAUUAUGUUGUAGGCUUAUGAUUUGGACAUAGGACCACGCCAAAGCAGUGUUGGAUUAUGCUCGGCCAGUCUCGCGUCAGCAAGUAGAUUUGUUCCUGGCAUCAGUUGCAUCACAUUGGUCAAGGAGCUAUUCUGCUAUGGUCGUCUAUACUAUCCUUUUAAAUUUAUUUUACUCUUUUGUCUCUUCUUUGAUUCAGAUUCAUUCCCUGCUAGAUGGAUAACACAGACAUUCUAGGAUUUGUUGUUUCCUUACAAAUUGAACUACUGAAGAAUAUGCUUAUGUUGUGAUAUGAAAGCAGUUUUGUCACCGGAUAAAGGGGCAAUGAUCUGGCAAAGCUAUCGCCCCUUUAGCAGUUUGAUGCUUUGUGUGAUAAGAGAACAAGCAGAAGAACACGGUAAGAAAGGCACCACAAACAACAUAGAGGAGGUAGAAAUAGAAAUCGGCAGUGGGUGAGAUGCCAAUCAUUUAUGAAAGAUGUUUGGACUCUGCAAGUCUCAUGGGAUACUCCCACGCAUCUGGGACCCAGAAGAAGAUCAGAGGAAUCCUUUUUAUUCAUUGUUCAUCCAUUUUGAAUACAUUCCUAGUUAUUUGGUUGUAGGUUUAGUCUGGAACUCGAAACUUAUCCAUUAACACUUGAUCUUUGGUCAUCUGCUGUUGUGUCCAAAUAUUUAGCCCUAAAUAGGCUGCAGUUCAAUUUCAAGAACAAGUUUUAUCCAUCAAGAGUAAAUGAAGUAUUAUAGGCAGAGAAUCUCUUACCAAGGAGUAGAAAAUAUGGGCAAAGAAAACCACAAGUCCAAAUUGGGUCAAUGCAUAGACCCAGACAAAUCUUCUGUUUACUGCAAUAGGGAGUAAGAGGGCAGUCAGGGAAUUACUGCAAAGAAGAAAUAAUACAAGUAAAAGAGGAUUUUAUCAGCUUCUGAGUCCAAAAAUUCGUGAUAUAGGAAGCAAUUUAGGCGAUUGACAUACACUAACACAUCCUUUUCUGCAUUGCUUAAGUAAGCCAAAUAUUUGAUGUUUUCAAGUAUUAUAUUGUCAGAUCAGGAUAUUAACCCCAUGCCAAUAACAUACAGGGCAAAAGACCAUUCAACAGCUCAUUUCAAUCUUAAAAGUGUAUUAUUUGCAGGAAAAUUAUAGUUGGUUGGUAUCUAUAUCCUAUAACACAAUCAACUGCCUAAUCCAUCCAUGUUUAGGAAUUUAGAUGGCUUACCCAUGGUUGAAGCAGUCACUGUUGCAAGGAGACCCAAAACACAAGCAAAUGGGAGAGAGAUGACAACUGCACCAGUACCCAUCUUUCCAACCUGAAGGAGACAAAAUAUUAGCAAGAAGAUAAUCAGUGCAUUUUGAGAAAGAAGUUUUAGUAAACUUACCAGAAGCUGCUCAAGAAAACAAAAAUAAGCAAGCAUGCUGACAAUGACAAGAAUGGGCACUUCCUGCCAAAUCCUGGUAAGAUUAACAAUACAAAAGUUCAGGUUGUGUGUCAUGUACAAAUAGACCUUAAAAAGUUCAUGUUGAUCUUGAUAUAUAUAUCCAAGAAAUCUUGAUCUUCGAUGAUAUGAUAUGAUAAAAUAAAUAUGUAUGUAUACACAGGACGAAAUAAUUAAAUUUUCAGGCAAUCCUAGUUUAACAGUAUUUUUUAAAUAUUUGUUUUUUUCCCUUUUAGAUCUCUAUACCAGAUGAAACCCAAAAUUGAACAGCAUUUUAAUCAGCAGAGUUCCUUCAGGGCCUCAGCUCACCAAAUGAGAGAAUUGAGAGGCAUAACUUUGUGGAUUGAAUUUCAAGGAUAAGAUAGUGAGCUGCAGGAGGUAAGAACUGAAGAGAAUCAUACUUGAUUCUCCGCCAUACUAAGAACCUACGUGGAAAAGGUGAAAGAGACAUUCUGGAGAUAUUAGGUUAGAGUUAACAAUUACUAGUUAAGUAAGAAAAUUACCAAAUAAUUGACUUGCCUGUAUCCAUUAAUUUCCACCUGAAAAGCCAUACUUGAUCCAACAAUUUGACUUUGGACACUCUGAAUCCGCCUAAGUGUGACAGGUAAAUUUUGAACCUCAUGCUUGCACACAUCACAGAUUUUGUUGCCUUUGAUGCAAAACCAUUUUACUGCACACUCUUGGUGAGCCAAUGCAAGUUCACCUUUACAGCUGCAUUCCAACUUGAGGGUCUCACCACCUUCACAUAACUCAACCAAGCAAAUUCUACAAACAGCCUCUUCUUCAGGUAUGUCUUCGCCAUCUGCUUCAAUAUUUUCUGAAUAUGAUCUUAAUAUCAGAAUUGAACGUUAUGACAUUAUAAGCACAUAUUUAAGUAGAUAUUAAACAUAUACACACAUAUGCUUAAGCAGCAUAAAACAAUCAAAUAACUAAUUGUCCCUUGAUUAUCAAGUAAAACAGAGGCAAACAAAAGAAAAUUUUGAAAAUAACAUAUUUUUGGGUUCAGGAUAGCAGUAACAGAGGUUUCUGGAUUCUGUCACUUUCCUCCAGAAGCUCAUGACUCAUUCAAGAUAUUUUGAUUUUUGUACAAGAUAGGAGGGAAUUAGCAAAAAUCAGAGCAAUUACAAUCUCAAAGGGACUGAAAGUGAACGAGAUAUUGGGUGAUGGACUGCUUUUAUCUACAAAAAACACCAUGAUACAUGCUAUGAUGUUUGUAUGCAUGUGAACCUGACGCUGAAACCAAAAGCUACUCAGAAAUUUAAAAAAGUUAAAUUCAGUAUCUGCAAAAUUCUAGUAAACGGAAGAGUCUCAAGUCUCCUGAAAACAGAUGAGAUGAACAAUGGCUUCUAUCUAAAGUCGGCUUACUAUGAGCCUAAUGUGGUAUGCUAUGUUGGUGGUGUCACUUCCAACCAACAUGUGCAUGCACCAUACUGCGUACACAUAGGUGACACCACUCAGGAAGGUUAGCUGGCCAAGCGACUGCAACUGCCAGCAGUGAACUACAGAAGGUUGUUUAACACAGCCAGAUCUGCACAAAAUGUCUCACAUCUGAGUUAAAGACAAGUACACUAAAAUGGCAGUACAUCAACCAAUUUUCCUAAUGUUUGCAUCCCCAAGAUUUUAUCCAAGCUCAUACUGUGAACAGUCCUUACAUAGAGCUUAAACUUGCCCUUUGCAUUCAAACCCUGGCUGAAAAAUAAAUCAUUAGCUCAAGGUAAUGCCAAGUUUGCAUUAGGUCAGGCCAAAUGUGUGCGCAACAACAAAGAAUUGGUUAUCUUUACCCAAACAAAAUUUGAAAAUUUUGAACCAAGUGAUGUCUGUAAGACUCUGGUUAGGCAGAAUUCCGUGAAUCCAAUCACAUGAUCAGUUUUCCUUUUCCUUAGAUAAACUUGUAUAUGCAAAAAAAAUUUAAAACUUACAU